AACGCGAAGAACCUUACCUGGGCUCGAAAUGUAGUGGACCGGGGUGGAAACAUCCCUUCCCGCAAGGGCUGCUAUAUAGGUGCUGCAUGGCUGUCGUCAGCUCGUGUCGUGAGAUGUUGGGUUAAGUCCCGCAACGAGCGCAACCCUCGCCUUCAGUUGCCAGCAGGUUUGGCUGGGCACUCUGAAGGAACUGCCGGUGACAAGCCGGAGGAAGGUGGGGAUGACGUCAAGUCCUCAUGGCCCUUAUGUCCUGGGCUACACACGUGCUACAAUGGCGGUGACAGCGGGAUGCUAGGUCGCGAGGCCAAGCCGAUCCCAAAAAGCCGUCUCAGUUCAGAUUGCACUCUGCAACUCGGGUGCAUGAAGGUGGAAUCGCUAGUAAUCGCGGAUCAGCACGCCGCGGUGAAUACGUUCCCGGGUCUUGUACACACGC
rnacentral:rRNA from 1 species